CAGAGCGUGAGCCGGGAAUGGAAAGACCGGUACAAGCGAGGUAGGAGAAGAGUUGGCAAAUCCGCUCUUUAAUCUGAAGACGUGAUGUGGACUGAAAAUAAGUAGGGAAGCACGUGAGCUGACUGUCAAGAAAAGCCGCUAUUGUUUGCAGGAUACCCGUACCGUAAACCGACACAGGUGGAUGAGGAGAGAAUCCUAAGGCCGACGGGAGAAGCAUUGUUAAGGAACUCGGCAAAAUGACUCCGUAACUUCGGGAGAAGGAGUGCCAGUAAGAUGGCCGCAGAGAAUUGGCCCAAGCAACUGUUUAGCAAAAACACAGGUCUAUGCAAAACCGAAAGGUGAGGUAUAUGGGCUGACGCCUGCCCGGUGCUGGAAGGUUAAGGGGAGAGGUUAGCGCAAGCGAAGCUUUGAACUUAAGCCCCAGUAAACGGCGGCCGUAACAAUAACGGUCCUAAGGUAGCGAAAUUCCUUGUCGGGUAAGUUCCGACCCGCACGAAAGGCGUAAUGAUUUGGGCACUGUCUCAACAAUGCACCCGGUGAAAUUGAAAUACCAGUGAAGAUGCUGGUUACCUGCGCCAGGACGGAAAGACCCCAUGGAGCUUUACUCCAGCUUGAUACUGGGAUUCGGUAUUGCAUGUACAGGAUAGGUGGGAGGCUAGGAAAUGGUAACGCCAGUUGCCAUGGAGCCAAUGUUGGGAUACCACCCUUGCAGUACUGGGUUUCUAACCAGCAGCCGUGAUCCGGCUGGGGGACAAUGUCAGGUUGGGAGUUUGACUGGGGCGGUCGCCUCCGAAAGGGUAUCGGAGGCGCUCAAAGGUUCCCUCAGAAUGGUUGGAAACCAUUCGAAGAGUGCAAAGGCAGAAGGGAGCUUGACUGCGACACCGACGGGUGGAGCAGGUACGAAAGUAGGACUUAGUGAUCCGGUGGUAUAAAGUGGGAUUGCCAUCGCUCAACGGAUAAAAGCUACCCUGGGAUAACAGGCUUAUCACUCCCAAGAGUUCACAUCGACGGAGUGGUUUGGCACCUCGAUGUCGGCUCAUCGCAUCCUGGGGCUGAAGUAGGUCCCAAGGGCUGGGCUGUUCGCCCAUUAAAGCGGUACGCGAGCUGGGUUCAGAACGUCGUGAGACAGUUCGGUCCCUAUCCGGCGUGGGCGUAAGAUAUUUGAGAGGAGCUGUCCUUAGUACGAGAGGACCGGGAUGGACUGGCCGCUGGUGUAUCUGUUGUCUUACCAAAGGCAUAGCAGAGUAGCCAAGCCGGGAAGGGAUAAACGCUGAAGGCAUCUAAGCGUGAAGCCCCCCUCAAGAUGAGAUAUCUCAUAACGUCAAGUUAGUAAGACCCCUUGAAGACGACGAGGUAGAUAGGGCAGAGGUGGAAGUGUGGUAACACAUGGAGCUGACUGUUACUAAUAGGUCGAGGGCAUAACC
rnacentral:rRNA from 1 species